UGGGGAAUAUUGCACAAUGGGCGCAAGCCUGAUGCAGCAACGCCGCGUGAGGGAUGACGGCCUUCGGGUUGUAAACCUCUUUUAGUAGGGAAGAAGCGAAAGUGACGGUACCUGCAGAAAAAGCACCGGCUAACUACGUGCCAGCAGCCGCGGUAAUACGUAGGGUGCGAGCGUUGUCCGGAAUUAUUGGGCGUAAAGAGCUCGUAGGCGGUCUGUCGCGUCUGCUGUGAAAAACCCGAGGCUCAACCUCGGGCCUGCAGUGGGUACGGGCAGACUAGAGUGCGGUAGGGGAGAAUGGAAUUCCUGGUGUAGCGGUGGAAUGCGCAGAUAUCAGGAGGAACACCGAUGGCGAAGGCAGUUCUCUGGGCCGUAACUGACGCUGAGGAGCGAAAGCGUGGGGAGCGAACAGGAUUAGAUACCCUGGUAGUCCACGCCGUAAAACGUUGGGCGCUAGAUGUGGGGACCAUUCCACGGUUUCCGUGUCGCAGCUAACGCAUUAA
rnacentral:rRNA from 1 species